UACGUAUGGGGCAAGCGUUGUUCGGAUUUAUUGGGCGUAAAGGGCGUGUAGGCGGCUCAUGAAGUCUGGUGUGAAAUCGCAGGGCUCAACCCUGCAUAUGCGCUGGAAACUGGUGGGCUUGAGUUCUUGAGGGGAAGCUGGAAUUCCAGGUGUAGGAGUGAAAUCUGUAGAUAUCUGGAAGAACACCGGUGGCGAAGGCGAGCUUCUAUCAGAGGACUGACGCUGAGGCGCGAAAGCGUGGGGAGCAAACAGGAUUAGAUACCCUGGUAGUCCACGCUGUAAACGAUGUGCACUAGGCGUGGGGCCCGUACGGGUUCUGUGCCGUAGCUAACGUGUUAAGUGCACCGCCUGGGGAGUAUGCUCGCAAGGGUG
rnacentral:rRNA from 1 species